rnacentral:rRNA from 1 species
GCAUAUCAAUAAGCGGAGGAAAAGAAACCAACCGGGAUUGCCCUAGUAACGGCGAGUGAAGCGGCAAGAGCUCAAAUUUGAAAGCUGGCCCCCUCGGGGUCCGCAUUGUAAUUUGCAGAGGAUGCUUCGGGAACGGCCCCCAUCUAAGUGCCCUGGAACGGGCCGUCAUAGAGGGUGAGAAUCCCGUCUGGGAUGGGGUGGCCGCGCCCGUGUGAAGCUCCUUCGACGAGUCGAGUUGUUUGGGAAUGCAGCUCUAAUUGGGUGGUAAAUUUCAUCUAAAGCUAAAUAUUGGCCGGAGACCGAUAGCGCACAAGUAGAGUGAUCGAAAGAUGAAAAGCACUUUGAAAAGAGAGUUAAACAGCACGUGAAAUUGUUGAAAGGGAAGCGCUUGCGACCAGACUCGCCCGCGGGGUUCAGCCGGCACUCGUGCCGGUGUACUUCCCCGCGGGCGGGCCAGCGUCGGUUUGGGCGGCCGGUCAAAGGCCUCUGGAAGGUAACGCCUCUCGGGGCGUCUUAUAGCCAGGGGUGCCAUGCGGCCUGCCCGGACCGAGGAACGCGCUUCGGCUCGGACGCUGGCAUAAUGGUCGUAAGCGACCCGUCUUGAAACACGGACCAAGGAGUCUAACAUCUACGCGAGUGUUCGGGUGUCAAACCCGUGCGCGCAGUGAAAGCGAACGGAGGUGGGAACCCCCCGGGGUGCACCAUCGACCGAUCCUGAUGUCUUCGGAUGGAUUUGAGUAAGAGCGUAGCUGUUGGGACCCGAAAGAUGGUGAACUAUGCCUGAAUAGGGCGAAGCCAGAGGAAACUCUGGUGGAGGCUCGCAGCGGUUCUGACGUGCAAAUCGAUCGUCAAAUUUGGGUAUAGGGGCGAAAGACUAAUCGAACCAUCUAGUAGCUGGUUCCUGCCG